rnacentral:rRNA from 1 species
CUGCGGCAGCGACACUAUGUGUUGUUGGGUAGGGGAGCGUUCUGUAAGCCUGUGAAGGUGGCCUGUGAGGGUUGCUGGAGGUAUCAGAAGUGCGAAUGCUGACAUAAGUAACGAUAAAGCGGGUGAAAAGCCCGCUCGCCGGAAGACCAAGGGUUCCUGUCCAACGUUAAUCGGGGCAGGGUGAGUCGACCCCUAAGGCGAGGCCGAAAGGCGUAGUCGAUGGGAAACAGGUUAAUAUUCCUGUACUUGGUGUUACUGCGAAGGGGGGACGGAGAAGGCUAUGUUGGCCGGGCGACGGUUGUCCCGGUUUAAGCGUGUAGGCUGGUUUUCCAGGCAAAUCCGGAAAACCAAGGCUGAGGCGUGAUGACGAGGCACUACGGUGCUGAAGCGACAAAUGCCCUGCUUCCAGGAAAAGCCUCUAAGCAUCAGGUAACAUCAAAUCGUACCCCAAACCGACACAGGUGGUCAGGUAGAGAAUACCAAGGCGCUUGAGAGAACUCGGGUGAAGGAACUAGGCAAAAUGGUGCCGUAACUUCGGGAGAAGGCACGCUGAUAUGUAGGUGAAGCGACUUGCUCGUGGAGCUGAAAUCAGUCGAAGAUACCAGCUGGCUGCAACUGUUUAUUAAAAACACAGCACUGUGCAAACACGAAAGUGGACGUAUACGGUGUGACGCCUGCCCGGUGCCGGAAGGUUAAUUGAUGGGGUUAGCGGUAACGCGAAGCUCUUGAUCGAAGCCCCGGUAAACGGCGGCCGUAACUAUAACGGUCCUAAGGUAGCGAAAUUCCUUGUCGGGUAAGUUCCGACCUGCACGAAUGGCGUAAUGAUGGCCAGGCUGUCUCCACCCGAGACUCAGUGAAAUUGAACUCGCUGUGAAGAUGCAGUGUACCCGCGGCAAGACGGAAAGACCCCGUGAACCUUUACUAUAGCUUGACACUGAACAUUGAGCCUUGAUGUGUAGGAUAGGUGGGAGGCUUUGAAGUGUGGACGCCAGUCUGCAUGGAGCCGACCUUGAAAUACCACCCUUUAAUGUUUGAUGUUCUAACGUUGGCCCGUAAUCCGGGUUGCGGACAGUGUCUGGUGGGUAGUUUGACUGGGGCGGUCUCCUCCUAAAGAGUAACGGAGGAGCACGAAGGUUGGCUAAUCCUGGUCGGACAUCAGGAGGUUAGUGCAAUGGCAUAAGCCAGCUUGACUGCGAGCGUGACGGCGCGAGCAGGUGCGAAAGCAGGUCAUAGUGAUCCGGUGGUUCUGAAUGGAAGGGCCAUCGCUCAACGGAUAAAAGGUACUCCGGGGAUAACAGGCUGAUACCGCCCAAGAGUUCAUAUCGACGGCGGUGUUUGGCACCUCGAUGUCGGCUCAUCACAUCCUGGGGCUGAAGUAGGUCCCAAGGGUAUGGCUGUUCGCCAUUUAAAGUGGUACGCGAGCUGGGUUUAGAACGUCGUGAGACAGUUCGGUCCCUAUCUGCCGUGGGCGCUGGAGAACUGAGGGGGGCUGCUCCUAGUACGAGAGGACCGGAGUGGACGCAUCACUGGUGUUCGGGUUGUCAUGCCAAUGGCACUGCCCGGUAGCUAAAUGCGGAAGAGAUAAGUGCUGAAAGCAUCUAAGCACGAAACUUGCCCCGAGAUGAGUUCUCCCUGACUCCUUGAGGGUCCUGAAGGAACGUUGAAGACGACGACGUUGAUAGGCCGGGUGUGUAAGCGCAGCGAUGCGUUGAGCUAACCGGUACUAAUGAACCGUGAGGCUUAACCUUACAACGCCGAAG